rnacentral:rRNA from 1 species
UACGGAGGGGUCUAGCGUUGUUCGGAAUUACUGGGCGUAAAGCGCACGUAGGCGGACCAGAAAGUCAGGGGUGAAAUCCCGGGGCUCAACCCCGGAACUGCCUUUGAAACUUCUGGUCUUGAGGUCGAGAGAGGUGAGUGGAAUUCCGAGUGUAGAGGUGAAAUUCGUAGAUAUUCGGAGGAACACCAGUGGCGAAGGCGGCUCACUGGCUCGAUACUGACGCUGAGGUGCGAAAGCGUGGGGAGCAAACAGG